GAUCCUGGCUCAGAAUCAACGCUGGCGGCGUGCCUAACACAUGCAAGUCGCACGAGAAAGGGUAGCAAUACCUGAGUAAAGUGGCGCACGGGUGAGUAACACGUGAAUUAUCUACCUCCGAGUGGGGAAUAACUGAGAGAAAUCUUAGCUAAUACCGCAUAACACUUACGAGUCAAAGCAGUAAUGCGCUUGGAGAGGAGUUCGCGGCAGAUUAGUUAGUUGGCGGGGUAAUGGCCCACCAAGACGAUGAUCUGUAUCCGGCCUGAGAGGGCGCACGGACACACUGGAACUGAAACACGGUCCAGACUCCUACGGGAGGCAGCAGUGGGGAAUUUUGCGCAAUGGGGGAAACCCUGACGCAGCAACGCCGCGUGGAGGAUGAAAUCCCUUGGGAUGUAAACUCCUUUCGAUAGGGAAGAUUAUGACGGUACCUAUAGAAGAAGCCCCGGCUAACUUCGUGCCAGCAGCCGCGGUAAUACGAGGGGGGCAAGCGUUGUUCGGAUUUAUUGGGCGUAAAGGGUGCGUAGGCGGUUUGGCAAGUCUUGUGUGAAAUCUUUGGGCUCAACCCAAAGCCUGCACAAGAAACUGCCGGGCUUGAGUAUGGGAGAGGUGAGUGGAAUUUCCGGUGUAGCGGUGAAAUGCGUAGAUAUCGGAAGGAACACCUGUGGCGAAAGCGGCUCACUGGACCAG
rnacentral:rRNA from 1 species